CCGGAUCCUCCUUAAUUCUAGGUGUUCCUACCUUGGUCUAAUUUCAGCUUGUCGGGUGUUUUCAUAGUGUAGGUUUUGUUAGGGUUUGCCUUGGCCACGUUAAAAAUCCCUAAACCAGGCAUGCAGCCCCACACCUGUAAUCCUAGCACUAGAGAGGCCGAGACAGGAGAAUUGUCAUGAGUUUCUGGCCAGCCUGACCUACCUAAUUACUUUCAAGCCAUCCGAAGCUGUUUGAGACCUUGUGUUUAAAAAAACAAAAAACAGAAGCCAGGCUCCCGACUGCUGAGAUCACAGGAGGCGGGGACAAGGCAGGGGCAGCAGACGCCAUCCGGACCAGAAAAAGCCAGGAGAGACCAGAAGGUGCCUGGUCCCUGAGAGUCUGGUCCACUAACUCCAGGGACUGUGGGACAGAGGAACAAACAAGAAAGAACUCGAGGCCUCGCUGAGUGGCGCGCUUGCUGAGUGCUGCCACAUCCCGCAAGCUGAGCAGGUAUCCCAACUCUGUUCCUGCCCGGUAGACCACCCGAGGUGGUGAGUGUGGUCUUGUCUUCCAGAUUCGUAGGACAGAAGCUCCAGGAGGAGGACCCGCCCAACAUGGCAUCGGA
rnacentral:lncRNA from 1 species